UGGGGAAUUUUGGACAAUGGGGGAAACCCUGAUCCAGCCAUCCCGCGUGUGCGAUGAAGGCCUUCGGGUUGUAAAGCACUUUUGGCAGGAAAGAAACGUCAUGGGUUAAUACCCCGUGAAACUGACGGUACCUGCAGAAUAAGCACCGGCUAACUACGUGCCAGCAGCCGCGGUAAUACGUAGGGUGCAAGCGUUAAUCGGAAUUACUGGGCGUAAAGCGUGCGCAGGCGGUUCGGAAAGAAAGAUGUGAAAUCCCAGAGCUCAACUUUGGAACUGCAUUUAUAACUACCGGGCUAGAGGGUGUCAGAGGGGGGUGGAAUUCCGCGUGUAGCAGUGAAAUGCGUAGAUAUGCGGAGGAACACCGAUGGCGAAGGCAGCCUCCUGGGAUAACACUGACGCUCAUGCAAGAAAGCGUGAGGAGCAAACAGG
rnacentral:rRNA from 1 species